rnacentral:lncRNA from 1 species
UUCUGCACUUUCGUAACAGCCUUUUUGGAGCCCUUCUUGGGAGCAGGAGCGGAUUUCGCUGGAUCCGGCAUUUUUGCGCGAAAAAAGAGAACAGAGACUUAAAGAAGUAAUCCGAACUACCGCAAAACGGGCUGGUUAUGCGCUACUUAUAGAGCCUGUAUGCAAAUGAAGACUCGCAAAGUGCUGCGCUUUAAUUGGUUAACUUACAACGGUGUCGUCAGAGGGGGUGGAGUCUAUGUAAAUAAUAGAUUCUAGUCUUGCUUCCUUAAUGGUCACUGUAACAAAAGUCUUGUUAUCCAAUCAGAAUGGUCCAUUUCACACUAACCAGUUUUAAGCUAGGUGAAGCGAUAGUUUCAACGGCUUGAGGUUUUUUUCUUGGUUUUCACUUUCCAUUAGACUUGCAUACGGAAGAAAUCUUAACGCCAGCUAGACAAGUUAACUCUCUUGCCUCGUUUUUGCAUUUUUAUUCUAUACUUUGUGGAAAUUUUUUUCUCUUCCUUGAAAUACUACCUCACCCACACAUUUUUAAAAAUCGCCAGAUAUUUACUCCCGCCCGCUUAAAUUACUAUUCUGGCUUGGACACCGCCUGUAGUAUGCAAUGAGGAAGAUGCUGAGCUUUAAUUAAGCUUAUAGUUCCUAAAUAAACCAGGAAACGAGUUUAUAAUUUUUAAGGGACUCGCCCCACCCUUACACUCAGGAUCUUCCACAUCUAGAAACUCCCCAUAGUCUCUUGCCCCCAUGCAAAACUUUACCCACAGAAUUGGGAGCCGGACCUCUAGCCUUAAACCAGCGUGAAAAGGCUCGGCCGGAACCACAAGGACCAUGCCUCUGCGGCUUUCUCUACUGCCGGCCAACUCACGGCUGGGCUUUGGGUUCUGUAACGUCACCCACCACGAGUGCCCCUGGCCCCUGACCGCUGCGCAAGGCAGACGCACAUCAGAUGGAGAGCCGGUACAGCUGCUCUUGAUGAAAACGGCAGUGGCUCUGAAAAGAGCCUUUAGAUCGACCACUUAAAAAUAUACCUUAGGCCCGCUCCCCGCGGAUGCGGCUGACCAACUGGAUGUCCUUGGGCAUGAUGGUCACGCGCUUGGCAUGGAUGGCGCACAGGUUCGUGUCUUCGAACAGCCCCACCAGAUAAGAAAACUGAGUCUCAGAGAAAUUAUGGCUUGUCCUGGCUUUUCCCAGGCAAGUAAAUGCAGGCCACAGUCUGCCAGCUGCCCAACCAUUCAGGCUUUUCAUUAUUAUAGGAAGCAUCUGGCCAAGGACCACCAACAUCUUCCUGUCCUGCCCCUGAAGCUGUGAGUUCCCCAAGUGGAGACACAGCCUGUUCCCCAACACCUACACUCAUGAACACGGGAGGGUUGGUCAAAAUUGCACCGCUAUCAUGCUUAGUUUUAUACUCAGGUGUAAGUGACUGAUAGAAGGGCCUUUUGGAGGUGGAGAGUGCGCAGGUUCUGAAGAGGCAAGACUGGGGAAGUCUGGACCUGCUUCCAGAGUGUCCUCCCACAAGGCUUAGUGCUCAGGACCUGUAGUGGGUUGAAUAUGUUCCCUAAAGUUCGUGUCUAUCCAGCAUCUCAAAAUGUGAACGCAUUUGGAAACUGGGGCUUUGAAGACGUAAGUAGUUAAGGAUCUUGAGAUGAAAUCAUGCUGGAUAUAGGAUGGGCCUUAAAUUCAAUGACUGGUAUCUUUAUAAGAGAAAGGAGAGGGAAAUUCGGACACACAGAGAUGAGUAAGAAGCCAUGUGAAGAUGGAGGGAGAGAUUGGAAUGAGGCUGCCACAAGCCAAGGAACAUCAGAAGCCACCAGAAGCUGAAAGAAGCAAGGAAGGAUUCUCCCUGAGAGCCUUUAGAGGGAGCAUGGUACUUUAUUUCAGACUUCUGGUCUCCAGAACUGUGGAAGAAUACAGUUCUGUUGUUUUAAGCUACCAAGUUUGUGGUCAUUUGCUAUGGCAGCCCUAGGAAACUAACACAGGUUGAGUAUCCCUUAUCUGAAAUGCUUGGGACUGGGACUGUUUCGGGUUUCAGAUUUUGGAAUAUUUGCAUAUAUAUAAUGAGAUAUAUUGGGGAUGGGACCCAAGACUAAACACAAAAUCCAUCUAUGUUUCAUAAAUACCUUAUACACACUUACACUGUGCCCCAUUUUCUCCAACAACUUGACUUUCUGUACUAUAGAUAAACAUAAAUGUUUUCUCUCCCUUUUUUUUUUUUUUUUUUCUUUUGAGACAGAGUCUUGCUCUGUCGCCCAGGCUGGAGUGCAAUGGCACAAUCUCGGGUCACUGCAACCUCCUGGAUUCAAGUGAGUCUUCUGCCUCAGCCUCCCGAGUAGCUGGGACUACAGGCAUGUGCCACCACGCCUGGCUAAUUUUUGUAUUUUUAGUAGAGACGGGGUUUCACCAUGUUGGUUAGGCUGGUCUUGAACUCCUGACCUCAAGUGAUCCAGCCGCCUCGGCCUCCCAAAUUGCCGGGAUUUCAGGCAUGAGCCACCGCGCCUGGCCUUGCUUUUUCUCUUUUAAAAUCACUGUUACUCAUGGGGUAUCUGCAGGCCUUUUUGAUAUUUUCUUUUUUUUUUUUUUUUUUGAGACGGAGUCUCGCUCUGUCACCCAGGCUGGAGUGCAGUGGCGCAAUCUCGGCUCACUGCAAGCUCCGCCUCCCGGGUUCACGCCAUUCUCCUGCCUCAGCCUCCCAAGUAGCUGGGACUACAGGCGCCCGCCACUACGCCCGGCUAAUUUUUUGUAUUUUUAGUAGAGACGGGGUUUCACCGUUUUAGCCGGGAUGGUCUCGAUCUCCUGACCUCGUGAUCCGCCCGCCUCGGCCUCCCAAAGUGCUGGGAUUACAGGCGUGAGCCACCGCGCCCGGCCAACCUUUUUGAUAUUUUCAACAAUAUCUUUAUACCACAGAGCAGAGAAUAAGCAAAAAAACCCCACAGUGAGUAAGGCACGUAGGUCUUGGCUCCUACAUGGGGCAUUAUGGGGAACGUGCUGUUGACGACACUGGCCUGCACACAUGCCAUUUUAUGACCCUUUGUGGGUGUGUGCACGUUGGGGAAACCGGGCAUGUGCAGAAAAGAUAUAUCUCAGCGGAAAGGGGCUGGGAGGGCCUUUUAUUUCCUUGGGGGAAAUACUGUGCAUUGUAUGACCCGUUGUGUGAGGUCAGGUGUGGAAUUUUCCACCGAGGCACCACAUUAGUGCUCAAAAUUGUUCAGAUUUUGGAGCCUAGGGUUUCGGAUCUUCAGAUUAGGGGUGCUCAACCUGUACAACAUCCUUGCAACAAUCUAGGUGUGAGCUUUCCUCAAGAGCAAGAAGAGCUUGCCACUUCUGCUAUAUGACCACGGUGAAGCCAGCCUGUCACCCUCCUGCCCUGGAUGACCCCAGGGAGCUCUACAGAGGUCCAUGGCUGGGGGAGGCCAGCAAUUGUCUAGGAGAGCUCAGUGCCACUUGCAAAGACGACAGAUCUCUCUACAAAUUCUGGGCUGAGCAGGUGAAGGAGGCUGGUCAGGCCCAUGAAGGAGCCUAGUCAGCCGUAAGGAAAGGUUCACUGUGGGGCCCCCGACUUCCCAUUCCUGAUCUCCUUUGUACCUCUGCUGCCCACUUCCUUUCCUCUUUCCCUCCAAGUAUACCUUAUACUCUGCUCCUGAUGACACUCAGAUCUCCCCCCGCCCCCCCGC